rnacentral:misc_RNA from 1 species
AUGAAUCAACGAAGAUUCGGGCUGCUAUGUGCCGUAAUGCUAGGUUUCGGGCAGCUCUGCAUGUUCACCGGAUUUGACGCAGAGUCGUUUAUUCUAGAGUCUGUGAUACACUCGAUUCAUGAAAGGGAGCCCGAGCGAAUCAGCAGCUAUGCUGGGUAUUAUGGCCAAGCAGUGAUCUAUGCUUUCUACAUGAUAUCCUGCCUUUUUUCCCCUUCCAUCGCUGCAGUGAGCACCCCAAAAAUCAAUUUAAUUCUCGCGGCAACUUUCUUCUCGGCAUUCCCUCUGGGCUUCCUGUUUACCAACUCUUAUUACUACUAUGCUUCAUCUGCACUUUGUUCUAUCAAGGUCAGGGAGGGUACUUAACGUCACAUUCUACAAGAAAUACCAUAGAAUCUAAUGUCUCAAUUUCGUGGUCUGUUGGAAGUUGUUGCAUGAUCCUAGGAUCCGCCAUCAUGGCGACAAUCACUCACUUGAGUUCAGCGACCACUGAACAUAUUAUGGGAUCCUUGAAUGUCACAAGUGAAGCUCACAAAAUGGAGAGACAGUUUGGCGAGCUGGAAAUUAACCUCCUGUUCUCUGCGUUCACUGGAAUUUCGGUUCUCGGGAUUAUCACAUUUUUUGUGAUGCCUUCCAAAGAUGUCGAGAACUGUAUCGAGAGUAGUUCUGAGAAAAAGGAAACUUUUUUGGAGGCUCUUAAACUCACCUGCUCGACACUGGUUUCCCCAACAAUGCUCCAGCUCUUCCCGCUCUUUGUGCUCAGCGGCUUCAACACCUCAUUCUGGCUCUCAGUUUUCCCGACUGCGAUGAGCUUUACCAUGCAGAACUCAAAGUUGAUCUACCUAGCAGCAGUCUAUAGUCUAGGAGUUGGUUCCGGGGAGGUUAUAAUUGGACUAGCGAUCUCAUUCCUCAGCAAGCGUAUCAAAGAUUUCGGGCAAAAGCCAACUAUGACGAUUGGCGCAAUCUUCAUCACGAUGUAUUGUGCCAUGAUCCAUAUGUCUACUCCGUACGAUGCUCCGAUUAGGCCAACUAGCAAGGAGCCACUUUUUUUUGGUCAUUCCUACCUUUUGGCCCUAAUCAUAGGCUUAUUUUGUGGAAUCGGAGAUUGCUGUGUAAAUAGUGUAAGAUCAGUGAUUUGUGCGUUGCUGAUGCCAAAAAGAAGACCACAAGCGUUUUCAGUGUCGAAGAUUUAUCAUGCUUUUGGAUCUACGAUUCUAUUCUUCAUGAGCCCCAUCACACCACUCUACGUCUACACAAUCGGCCUGCCAAUUCUCGCAAUCAUCGCCACAAUUUUGUUCUUUUCCAUUUCUAAAAGAACACAAAUUAUGGAACGGAAAAUGACGGAGGCUAGCAAAAAUGCUGCAGAAAUUGGAAAGAAACUUAAUUUUUAA